GAAGUCGUAACAAGGUUUCCGUAGGUGAACCUGCGGAAGGAUCAUUGAAUCAAUCAAAAUCACAAUGCGAACCUGCCGUCCCAUGCUUUUGCACAGCGCGGUGCCCUGCGCUGGCGGGCCUUUGGGGGGUUGCCCUCUCGGGUGUCCUCUCGGGGUUAUCUGUGCAAUUGCGUGUUUUUUCCAAUCCCACACCCAGUUCAACAACUGAGUUGUGCCUCUCAAGCCCUCGAGGCUUUUGUGGGCACAGCCAAACUAACCUCUGAAGCUUCAAGGCGACCACACCGUGGUGGCCACGAACGAAAACAACUCUCAACAACGGAUAUCUUGGCUCUCGCAACGAUGAAGAACGCAGCGAAAUGCGAUACGUAGUGUGAAUUGCAGAAUUCCGUGAACCAUCGAAUCUUUGAACGCAUAUUGCGCUCGAGCCCUCGGGCAAGAGCAUGUCUGCCUCAGCGUCGGUUUCACCCCUCACACCCCCGCAUUCCCUCAAAAGCAUGCGGUGUCACGCCCAAACCGGGCGUGCGGGUGCGGAGUUGGCUUCCCCAAACCCGGGCUCUACGCUCCGCUGGAUUGGGUUGGCUGAAGUGCAGAGGCUUGAGCAAGGACCCUGAUGGGCACCAACUGGAUAGGUAGUGCCAGCCAGCCGGCUGUCUACACGAAGUUGUGGCUUGCGGACCUUGCUGGGGGCCAGCAGGAAUCGUGCCCCAAUGCGGCACGUUCAAACUUUCGACCUGAGCUCAGGCAAGAUUACGGACUGAACUUAAGCAUAUCAUUAAGUCCAGGAAAAGAAACUAACCAGGA
rnacentral:rRNA from 1 species